GCUAUGCAUAAAGAACGGAGACUGCGUCGGAUCAUCCGAUCCAAGAGAGAAAUGACCUCGCGAAGCUCCAGGAGCACGAAGCAGAGCUGCUGGAGGAGAAUCCGGAGGUGAAUCAACAAUUCUGGAUUGCGACGCCUUGCGAACGGCUGAACUCGUCGAAGGUCUCGAUCGAGUCGAUUUCCGAGUUGCACGAGCGACGGUAACCAUUGUAUCUUCGAUUCAAUCGGCGGAAACAGAGAAUCAAACUGGAAAACGAGAUGAUCUGAUCGGAAAAAUGAAGAGAUCAAGAGUGUGAUGGCUCUGAUACCAUAUUAGCGAUUGAGAGAUCGAGAGAGAUGAGAAAAGUUUGUUAG
rnacentral:lncRNA from 1 species